rnacentral:lncRNA from 9 species
AUGUUUUUGAUGCCUGUGCCUGAGCACAGCCCUCUGGAUUCUCAGGAGAGCAUCUUGCCCAGACCUGAGGACUGGCAGGAGGCAGGCCAGAAGGACAAUUUAGAUGACUCAGCAACUCAACUCAGCAGCCACUCCAGGACUGGGUCCCUCUCCCCGCAACUGGAAGGGAUGAAAAGAGCCACUUGCUGGGGACGUUUGUGGAGGCAGGAAGAUGAUGUAAGGGAAGCACCUGCACAGGACCAUGCUGGAGCCACGGGCACCACAAUCACGUCCUUCAUGAAGAAAACCCAGGCCCACGGGGCAGAGCUGGGCACCUAGCACGGCCGUGGCUGCCACUGGGCCACCACUGAGUGGAUGCUGUGCCCGGGCACUGGCCUCCCUGCCUUUGCUGGGGCCCAGCUUGAGCCAGAUUCAGAUGCUGAGGGAUUUCUGGAGAACCCCUGGGAAACUCCAGAGAAAGGGGAGGUGCCAAGAUGCCCGACAGAUGCUCCCCAGGAGGACCACAGGCCUGGAGCUGCAACUCUUGAAUCACCCAUCUUUUUCCCCAGAAUUGAUUGGCCUGAAUUUAUCUACCCAUCUGUAUUUUUAGUUCCGUAAUGCUUUUCUUUUUUUCUUUUUUUUUUUUGCUUUUCAGGGUCACACCUGCGGCAUAUAGAGGUUCCCAAGCUAGGGGUCUAUUCUGAGCUGUAGCCACCGGCCUACACCACAGCCACAGCAAUGCCAGAUCCAAGCUGAAUCUACGAACUAUACCUCAGCUCAUGGCAACACCGGGUCCUUAACCCACUGAGUGAGGCCAGGGAUCGAACCCGCAACCUCAUGGAUCCUAGUCAGGAUCAUUAACUGUGUGAGCCACAAAGGGAAUUUCCAUAAUGUUUUUCUUUCAAUGGGCUCAUUAAAAAAACAAAACAAAACAAAAAACUGGACUUCCCGUCAUGGCGCAGUGGUUAACGAAUUCAACUAGGAAACACGAGGUUGAGGGUUCAAUCCCUGGCCUUGCUCAGUGGGUUAAGGAUCCCACGUUGCUGUGAGUUGUAGUGUAGGUCAAAGACUCAGCUUGGACCCCGAGUUGCUGUGGCUCUGGCGUAGGCCAGCAGCAACAGCUCCAAUUAGACCCCUUAUCUAGGAGCCUCCAUAUGCUGCGGGAAAUUAAAAAAUAAAAAUAAAUAAAUAAAUAAACUUUAGAUAAGUUCAUCUACAAGGAAAAUUUAUAUCACUGACCUCAAAUGAAAAGCCACCAUCUUUUGCCAUAGAGAGGAAGUAACUGUAAAAUCAAAUGCAAAGAAAGCAAAGCAACAUUCUUAAAUCCCCAUCUGAAUCCCGUUUCUUGCUGAAGGCUCUGAGGGGAGCUCCGCUCUCCCUUCCUGGACAAGCAGCGCGUUAAAAACAUAGACGCUGUUAUAUGAGACUUUCUCCUCCAGUAAUUGCAGGAACUGGAAGAAAAUCAAAAGGAAAUGCGUGUAUCGUGAUAUGAUUCAAUGUUAUUUAAUAGCCUUGAGACCUGAAACCAUCUGGCAUCCUACCACUGCUGUACGUAACAUACUUGGGAAAACCCUGAGCCAGUCCCAGUCUCUUCUUAUUUUACACAUAAGAAAACUAAGGCCCCCAAAGAGGACAUGACUUGCCUAUGAUCUCACAGGUCCGUGGCUUCAGCCAGAUCUGGAAUCCAACCGGAAUUCUCUUGAAGGCAUUGUUUCACUCUUGUGGGGAAAAUCUAUAAAGACAAGGGUUUUAAGGACACCAGCGGUGGAAUUUCAGGCAUACAGCAGGCAACAGCAGCCCCUGGGUGGAGAGGACGGACACAGGCAGGGCUGCCAUCACAGCAGUCCUCGGACCCCACCUCCCUCCUCCCUCUGAGCAGGGCCCUCUGAGUUAGUUCCUUCCACUGUGCCAAGGGUCCUCAGAACGACAGCAAGGAGAAAGGCAGCUUGCCCGGCUCAGGCACCUGGGUAGAAUGAUGUCUUGAGCCUGGAGAGAGGAAAAUUCAUAAAGCCAGACUCUCCAGAAAAGUGCACAUUUUUGCAUUUAAUUUGAGGACGGAGUGUGGGUCGCCAUUUGUUUUCUCACUUUUAAACAAAUGCUUAUACAGCAUGUAUGUUCCAGGCACUUCACAAAUACUGUCAUUUAAUUCUCAGGACAAACUGACGACGUUGAUACUGUUAUUAUGUCCAUUUUACUGAUGAGAAAACUGAGGCACAGAGAGUUUAAGUAACUUAUCCCAAAUCCCCCACUUGGAAGCGGUAAGACUUCAACCCAAGAAAUGUGGUUUGACUAUGACGUGAGGAUGUUUCAGUGCAUUUAAUUCUCCAAACUACAAUGCAAGGGAGGUAUAAUUAAUCCCAUUUUAUAGAUGCAGAAACUGGAGUUCCCGUCAUGGCUCAGUGGAAAUGAAACCGACUAGUAAUCAUGAGGUUGUGGGUUUGAUCCCUGGCUUCGCUCAGUGGGUUAAGGAUCUGGUGUUGCCGUGAGUUGUGGUGUAGGUUGCAGACUCAGCUUGGAUCUAGCGGGCAGCUGCAGCUCCAAUUAGACCCCUAGCCUGGUAACCUACAUAUGCUGCAGGUGGGGCCCUCAAAAGACAAAAGAGAAAAUACAAUAAAAUAAAAAUAUAGAUGCAGAAACUGAGGCUAUUUGACAUCUGUGUUGUUGAUCCAACAGGCUCUUCACUUCUUUGCUAUACUCCCCAGACCUUGUGCCAGGGAUUCUUGGUCUAGGGUAUACUACCAAUGUGGUAGCCAUUUGCUGCAAGUGGUUUAUUGAUUAUUGAAACUGGCUAGUGUCACUAAGAAAUUGAAUUUUUCACUUUUUGGAACUUUAAUUUUAAAACAGUUGAAACAUUUUCUCCAUUAAACACAACUUAAUUGUUUUGAUAGGACAUUUUACUUGAGCCACUGACAAUGUAGCUUCCAUGCUGAUUUUUAGCCAGCCAUGCCAACAAUUUUGAAGACAUGUGUAUGAGAAAAAAUUUAGGUUAUCUCAUCAACAAUUUUUUUUUUUUUGUCUUUUUGUCCUUCUGCCAUUUCUUGGGCUGCUCCCUCAGCAUAUGGAGAUUCCCAGGCUAGGGGUCUAAUCAGAGCUCUAGCAGCCGGCCUACGCCAGAGCCACAGCAACAUAGGAUCCGAGCUGAG